CCUACGGGUGGCAGCAGUCGAGAAUCAUUCACAAUGGGGGAAACCCUGAUGGUGCGACGCCGCGUGGGGGAAUGAAGGUCUUCGGAUUGUAAACCCCUGUCAUGUGGGAGCAAAUUAAAAAGAUAGUACCACAAGAGGAAGAGACGGCUAACUCUGUGCCAGCAGCCGCGGUAAUACAGAGGGCUCAAGCGUUGUUCGGAAUCACUGGGCGUAAAGCGUGCGUAGGCUGUUUCGUAAGUCGGGUGUGAAAGGCGCGGGCUCAACCCGCGGACGGCACAUGAUACUGCGAGACUAGAGUAAGGGAGGGGGAAGCGGAAUUCUCGGUGUAGCAGUGAAAUGCGUAGAUAUCGGGAGGAACACUCGUGGCGAAGGCGGGUUCCUGGACAUUAACUGACGCUGAGGCACGAAGGCCAGGGGAGCGAAAGGGAUUAGAUACCCGAGUAGUC
rnacentral:rRNA from 1 species